AGUGAACGCUGGCGGUAGGCCUAACACAUGCAAGUCGAACGGCAGCACAGUAAGAGCUUGCUCUUACGGGUGGCGAGUGGCGGACGGGUGAGGAAUACAUCGGAAUCUACUUUUUCGUGGGGGAUAACGUAGGGAAACUUACGCUAAUACCGCAUACGACCUACGGGUGAAAGCAGGGGAUCUUCGGACCUUGCGCGAUUGAAUGAGCCGAUGUCGGAUUAGCUAGUUGGCGGGGUAAAGGCCCACCAAGGCGACGAUCCGUAGCUGGUCUGAGAGGAUGACCGUCCACACUGCAACUGAGACACGGUCCAGACUCCUACGGGAGGCAGCAGUGGGGAAUAUUGGACAAUGGGCGCAAGCCUGAUCCAGCCAUACCGCGUGGGUGAAGAAGGCCUUCGGGUUUUAAAGCCCUUUUGUUGGGAAAGAAAAGCAGCAGGUUAAUACCCCGCUGUUCUGACGGUACCCAAAGAAUAAGCACCGGCUAACUUCGUG
rnacentral:rRNA from 1 species